AUCCAAGAGCCUUCACUCCUCUUCCCUGAAAAUGAACAAGGGAGCCUGGGGUCACCCCCGUCCUUUGGGCAGUGGGGCUGGAAAGCAGGAGUAAAGAAGAGAAAGGAAUAAAAGAAGAAAAGCCCUAUAAUCCUAUCAUCCUUCUUCUCAGAUGCAGGCUUGUGGUCCCUUCCGACCCUGUGGAUGCAGAAGGAAGAGGCAAGGUCCUUUCUGUAUAUGGAUGUCUAGAGUUGUCAUAAUGAUGUGGUGAAGCAAGUUUAAGCUGCGUGUUUGAUUGAGAAGGGAUACUUUUUUCUCAUCAUUAAUCACAAAUUAAAGCCA